rnacentral:pre_miRNA from 1 species
UACUGUUUUCUCCCGAGAUAAACAUCUCUAACUUUGACAAAUUUAUAGAAAAUACAUUGACAUCUGGAAUAUCAAAUAAAUACACUAUCAAGACAUUUUAUGAUGGUCAAUUAAUGAAACUAAUUUGGUAUUGUAGAUGUCGCUGUAUUUUUCUAUAAAUUUGGUCAAAGCUAAAUAAGUUUGACUCAAGACAAAACUAUCA